UACAGAGGUCUCAAGCGUUGUUCGGAUUCAUUGGGCGUAAAGGGUGCGUAGGUGGCGCCAUAAGUCAGGUGUGAAAUCUCGGGCUCAACCCCGAACUGCACUUGAUACUGUGGUGCUCGAGUACUGGAGAGGAGAUUGGAAUUUACGGUGUAGCAGUGAAAUGCGUAGAUAUCGUAAGGAAGACCAGUGGCGAAGGCGAAUCUCUGGACAGUUACUGACACUGAGCACGAAGGCCAGGGAGCAAACGGG
rnacentral:rRNA from 1 species